GCUGGGCUCAGUGGUAGAGCGCUUGCCUAGCAUGUGUGAGGCACUGGGUUCCAUUCUCAGCACUGCA
rnacentral:tRNA from 1 species